rnacentral:rRNA from 1 species
GACGAACGCUGGCGGCGUGCUUAACACAUGCAAGUCGAACGGAAAGGCCCUGCUUUUGUGGGGUGCUCGAGUGGCGAACGGGUGAGUAACACGUGAGUAACCUGCCCUUGACUUUGGGAUAACUUCAGGAAACUGGGGCUAAUACCGGAUAGGAGCUCCUGCUGCAUGGUGGGGGUUGGAAAGUUUCGGCGGUUGGGGAUGGACUCGCGGCUUAUCAGCUUGUUGGUGGGGUAGUGGCUUACCAAGGCUUUGACGGGUAGCCGGCCUGAGAGGGUGACCGGCCACAAUGGGACCGAGAUACGGCCCAGAGUCCUACGGGAGGCAGCAGUGGGGAAUAUUGCACAAUGGGCGGAAGCCUGAGGCAGAAACGCCGCGUGCGGGAUGACAGCCUUCGGGUUUUAAACCGCUUUCGCCUGUGACGAAGCGUGAGUGACGGUAAUGGGUAAAGAAGCACCGGCUAACUACGUG